GGGCCAGUGGCGCAAUGGAUAACGUGUCUCACUACGGAUCAGAAGAUUCUAGGUUCGACUCCUGGCUGGCUCG
rnacentral:tRNA from 1 species